rnacentral:rRNA from 1 species
UGGUGGGGUAACGGCCCACCAAGCCUAAGAUCCGUACGGGCCAUGGGAGUGGGAGCCCGGAGAUGGACCCUGAGACAAGGGUCCAGGCCCUACGGGGCGCAGCAGGCGCGAAACCUCCGCAAUGCGGGAAACCGCGACGGGGUCAGCCGGAGUGCCGAUGCUUGCAUCGGCUGUCGGGGAGCCUAAAAAGCUCCCCAUAGCAAGGGCCGGGCAAGGCCGGUGGCAGCCGCCGCGGUAAUACCGGCGGCCCGAGUGGCGGCCACUAUUAUUGGGCUUAAAGCGUCCGUAGCCGGGUUGGUUAGUCUCCCGGGAAAUCUGGCCGCUUAACGGUCAGAAUUCCGGGAGAUACUGCCAGCCUAGGGACCCGGAGAGGCCGAGGGUAUUCCCGGAGUAGGGGUGAAAUCCUAUAAUCCCGGGAGGACCACCUGUGGCGAAGGCGCUCGACUGGAACGGGUCCGACGGUGAGGGACGAAGGCCAGGGGAGCAAACCGGAUUAGAU